AGUGAACGCUGGCGGUAGGCCUAACACAUGCAAGUCGAACGGCAGCACAGUAAGAGCUUGCUCUUACGGGUGGCGAGUGGCGGACGGGUGAGGAAUACAUCGGAAUCUACUUUUUUGUGGGGGAUAACGUAGGGAAACUUACGCUAAUACCGCAUACGACCUACGGGUGAAAGCAGGGGAUCUUCGGAUCUUGCGCGAUCGAAUGAGCCGAUGUCGGAUUAGCUAGUUGGCGGGGUAAAGGCCCACCAAGGCGACGAUCCGUAGCUGGUCUGAGAGGAUGAUCAGCGACACUGGAACUGAGACACGGUCCAGACUCCUACGGGAGGCAGCAGUGGGGAAUAUUGGACAAUGGGCGCAAGCCUGAUCCAGCCAUGCCGCGUGGGUGAAGAAGGCCUUCGGGUUGUAAAGCCCUUUUGUUGGGGAAGAAAAGCAGCAGGUGAAUACCCCGCUGUUCUGACGGUACCCAAAGAAUAAGCACCGGCUAACUUCGUG
rnacentral:rRNA from 1 species